UUUCAACAAGUCAUUCAUUCAUUUACACAUUCUUCAAUCUUUCGUUUCUUCAACUUCCUAUUAUUGUCAAUCACUCAUUACUUUCCAAUAUCCUGCUGGGUCACUCUUGUUUGCUUGACACGAGAGAGAGAGAGAGAGAGAGAGAGAGAGAGAGAGAGAGAGAGAGAGAGAGAGAGAGAGAGAGAGAGAGAGAGAGAGAGAGAGAGUGCGGAUGUGGGGGGGAAGGGAAGAACAGUCAAGAAAUUUCGUGCGUGUAAUAUGAGUUGUAUAUUUGUUGUUAUUAUUGAUAUUGUAAUCAUUAUCUUUUACAAAGGCUCAGUAAGUAAUAGAUUCUAACGUGUUCCGUCCAGUUUAGUACCUUUAUUGUUAUCUUUAUUACUACUUAAGUUAAUUUUGUCGUAUUUUUUGUAUUUUUCGUUAUUGUGUAUAUUCGUAAUAGUGUUUUUCUUUUCUUUUUUGUAUGUAUGUGUCUGUAUCUCUGUUUUGUAUUUUGUUAUUUAUUGAUUUAUUUCUCUCUAGCAAACAGGAGCGUUGAUCGCAUCUGUUCAGGAAUUUUUGUAUACGUACGUGUGUGUGUGUGUGUGUGUGUGUGUGUGUGUGUCGAUAUAGUAAUGUGAAUAAUUUGUUUUCUAUACACACAUAUGUCCUGGAGAUAUAUAUGUAAAUAAAUAAGACUUAUACUA